rnacentral:rRNA from 1 species
GACGAACGCUGGCGGCGUGCUUAACACAUGCAAGUCGAACGGAGUGGCGAACGGGUGAGUAACAAGUGGGUGACCUGCUCUGCACUUCGGGAUAAGCCUGGGAAACUGGGUCUAAUAACGGAUAGUGUGGGAUGGGCCCGCGGCCUAUCAGCUUGUUGGUGGGGUAAUGGCCUACCAAGGCGGCGACGGGUAGCCGGCCUGAGAGGGUGGACGGCCACAAUGGGACUAAGAGACGGCCCAGAGUCCUACGGGGGGCAACAGUGGGGAGUAUUGCGCAAUGAGCGGAAGCCUGAUGCAGCGACGCGGGGUGGGGAAUGACGGCCUUCGGGUUGGAAACUCCUUUCACCAUCGACGCGGUAGAUGGAGAAGAAGCACCGGCUAACUACGUGCCAGCAGCCGCGGUAAUAC